UAUUUCAUAAUAUGUAAAAAAUAUAGAAUACUUGAAAAUAAUUUAUAUAUAAUAUUCAUCCCGCGCAAGGCGCGGAUCUUAACCUAGUAGAUAAGUAUAUACUUUAUCCUUUUUAAUAAACAAUUGAUUUUGUGUUGAAACAUAUAUUAAAGGCAAGAAAUAUGAUUUUACCUUUAAUAUCAGAUUUCUCGCUCUAGUAUCUUUUUCUUUAGCUUUAGGAUCAGGUUCCUCUCUAGUCUGCACCUUGGAAUCAACAUCAUCUUUCUCAGAUGAUCCUUCACAAGAUUCACCUUGCAAGACCUUUCCGAGUCCCUGUAGCUCAAGUUGCAUCAACAUCUUGAACUUCCACAUCCCAAAAUCUCCUUUCCCAUCGAACUUCUCCAUCUCAAACUUCGUAACAGCCUCCAUCACGAUCCGAGCUCGUCCAACACACAGAUCCACAAACACCUAGGAUCGUAACGCCUUAGAUCACGACCACUCGCGAUCACCUCCUGCACAAUAACCUUGCGCUCUGAUACCACUUAUUAGCCAAAAACGUAAAACUCAAUCAACACACAAGAUUUGUUAACCCGGACUUCAUUUCCUACUGUCCGGGGAGAGAUCUGUGCUCUCAACUGAUCACUAUAGCUUUUGGAAUCAAUACAGAGUCUCGGUAUCUUUCAACACACUUAUACAAGGAUCUCACCGACAUAAGUUGUACAGACUACCUCUGAAAUAACUCCCGGUAAUCAGAUUCUUCUGCGGUUCCGAUCACGGCUGGAACUUCACCGUCUCCGUCGCGAUCUUCGCCAAGAUAAGACUCUCUCUCUAUGAUUCUCUCUGCUCUCAGCUCGUCUCUGUUGUAACAGAAUGUAACAAACUCUCUUGAGAAGACGAUGAUAUAUCUCGUGAUCCUUAUCUCAUUAAUCAAAACUGCACCAUUUUGUAGGUUUGCUUCCAAAGCCCACUUCAGCUCGUGAUGGGCUUUUACACUUCAGGCCCAAAGAACCAGCUCAGAGAUAGUGAAAGACGACAAACACUCACACUAAAUAAAAAAAAAUCUCAAUAAAAGAAGAUAUGGAUAUGAAAUACAUGAACACUACAAGAAAACAAGCUGUUUUAUAAGGAGGAUUUUGUAGUGGUAAAAAGCCAUUUCUGAUGAAAACAAGCUGUUUUAAGUAAA